ensembl:lncRNA
AUCUCUUUCAGGAGAUUACUCCUCUUGGAGUUUUUUCUCUGAGCCUAUGACAUAGCAAUUGCUAUUUUGACAACGUAACUGUAUUCCUCUAUUUACUUGAGUAUGCAUGAAGUAUAAUGCAAAGAGAUGACAACACAGGGCUUAACUGUAGCUGUGAACGUCUAUUCAAAUGGAAAAAAAAGAUACCCCUGUGAACCAUAGCUAGACAGGAAAAAAAAGCCACAGGAAAGCUGGGCACAACAAGAAGCAGAGCAUGGCACAGAGAUUGCCAACACAGCACGUGCCCAAGGUGAGUACUUGUAACCACACAUCCCAAAAGCAAGACACAGCCUACACUAGUAAGCAUCAGAAGCAAAUUAAAGCCAGUCCAGAUUACUCUGACUAGAAUAUGUGGCAUUAAUGCUUAAUUAUCAGUGUAUCUCCCCUGAGGUAGCCUUAAUGGGAUAUACCUCAGUCAACCCAUCAUCAUACGAGACAGUUCUCAAGAGGCACAGCACACCUCACAAUGUCUGGAAACAAGACAGGUUAUUAAUGAGAUUUGUUCCUACAGAGCUAUUGUCUUAGCCACCAAUUAUUCCAAAGUGGGUGGUCUGGCAAAAAAAAAAAAAGUGUCAAAAAAGCACCUAUAACAACGGAUCGCCCCAGUACCUGUCCUGGCUUACAAGUUACAGGAAAGCACCAAUGAAGAAGUGCAUGCUGAUGCUAGAGAGAUGUCCUAAGGACUUUUCUGGCCAGCCUCAAGUCACAGAUGUUCUUUACAGAGUCAAAGUUACUCACAGAGUUCUCUAAAAGCACUUAGCUGGCAAGUGGGAAAAUGAGAAAACCUGACUUCAUAGCAAAGAAUGCACAAAGUGCCUGAAUCUGGCUAAGGUGUAAUGAACCAGACUAUAAUGCUCCAAAUCCACACAUAGGAGGGAAUGAAAAGCAAGGGCUGCCCGUGUGGAGCAGGUGUAAUUAAGCAGAGCACCUCAGAGCUUAUGGAAAAAUGAUUGAUGGCGUACAGAAAUGAGGAAGAAAACAACAGAACAGGAGGUCCUGGCAGUAAUAGCAGGGCACAGCAUUAGGACCAAGAAUCACAAGAACCUGGACUCUCUUGACAGCACAAAACAUCUGACCAACCCACUUAACAACACCUUUGCUUGGAGUUAAUUGAGGUCAGCUGGACAGAGCCUUCUUUGCACAUGGAAGUGUUGUGUUAAGCCAGAAUAGCUACUCACCCCAGCUGUAGGGCAUCCUUUGCCAUCUUCCAAGAAUCACAAGUGAAUGGCAUAGAAGUAUUUCCUUAAUUAGUUUGCCCAAACCAACUGGUAAGGGGCAGCAAUCUUCAGUCGCUGUGGGACACUACCUGCUGACAGCUUUUUCCAGCUGAAGUCAUGAAUGUCUGCACUUUUAGGAAGGGCAUGCAGUAAGCCAAGAGCACCAGACCUGUCACACGUGUGAUGGCAGGACUAUGCAUUGACAAAAAAAUUGAUUAAAACUAUCUCAAAUUUCAGGGUAUUUUAUUAAGCUGUUCUAAAAUAUGCAGAAUAGAGUGCAGUAUGAGAUACAAGCUGUAAAUAACUAUGGCAG